rnacentral:rRNA from 1 species
GUCGAGGGGCAGCAUGGUCUUAGCUUGCUAAGGCCGAUGGCGACCGGCGCACGGGUGAGUAACGCGUAUCCAACCUGCCUUACACUCUUGGACAGCCUUCUGAAAGGGAGAUUAAUACAAGAUGUUAUCAUGAGUAAGCAUUUUCGCAUGAUUAAAGGUUUACCGGUGUAAGAUGGGGAUGCGUUCCAUUAGAUAGUAGGCGGGGUAACGGCCCACCUAGUCUUCGAUGGAUAGGGGUUCUGAGAGGAAGGUCCCCCACAUUGGAACUGAGACACGGUCCAAACUCCUACGGGAGGCAGCAGUGAGGAAUAUUGGUCAAUGGACGAGAGUCUGAACCAGCCAAGUAGCGUGAAGGAUGAAGGUUCUAUGGAUUGUAAACUUCUUUUAUACGGGAAUAAACGGAUCCACGUGUGGAUUUUUGCAUGUACCGUAUGAAUAAGGAUCGG